rnacentral:rRNA from 1 species
AAUUUUGGACAAUGGGCGCAAGCCUGAUCCAGCAAUGCCGCGUGCAGGAUGAAGGCCCUCGGGUUGUAAACUGCUUUUGUACGGAACGAAAAGUCUUUGGUUAAUACUCUUGGAUCUUGACCGUACCGUAAGCAUAAGCACCGGCUAACUAGCCGCCCGCUGCCGCGGUAAUACGUAGGGUGCAAGCGUUAAUCGGAAUUUCUGGUCGGAAAGCGUGCGCAGGCGGUUUUGGAAGACGGUGGUGAAAUCCCCGGGCUCAACCUAGGAACUGCCAUUGUGACUGCAAGGCUGGAGUGCGGCAGAGGGGGAUGGAAUUCCGCGUGUAGCAGUGAAAUGCGUAGAUAUGCGGAGGAACACCGAUGGCGAAGGCAAUCCCCUGGGCCUGCACUGACGCUCAUACACGAAAGCGUGGGGAGCAAACAGG